rnacentral:rRNA from 1 species
GGAAGGAUCAUUAACGAAUUUUGAAGAGGGGGCAUUACUAGGUUGUGCUGGCCUUUUGGCACUGUGCACGCUGAACAGUCUCCUUUUUAACCUUCUCUCACACCUGUGCACCUUUGCUAGGUCUUUCGGGACCUAGAGUUCUUUAUGAACACCUUGUCGGAUUAUAUUUUACUAUUGUCAGCCGCUUCUUUUUCGAGGUUGGCGGGCAAAAUAAUAUUACAACUUUCAGCAACGGAUCUCUUGGCUCUCGCAUCGAUGAAGAACGCAGCGAAUUGCGAUAUGUAAUGUGAAUUGCAGAUUUUCAGUGAAUCAUCGAAUCUUUGAACGCACCUUGCGCUCCUUGGUAUUCCGAGGAGCAUGCCUGUUUGAGUGUCAUUAAAUUCUCAACCCCAUGUGAUUUGUUUCAUGUGCGGGCUUGGAUUGUGGGGGGUUUGCUGGACCUUUUGUGGUUCGGCUCCUCUGAAAUACAUCGGCGAAGCAUGUUGUGCGACCAGUGUCUCGGUGUGAUAAUGAUCAUCGUGGCAUGAAAGUGCAAUGUUUUGUGCUGCGCCUAUAGUCGUCCUGUAACGGGACAAUACUUUGAACCUUUGACCUCAAAUCAGGUAGGACUACCCGCUGAACUUAAGCAUAUCAAUAAGCGGAGGAAAAGAAACUAACAAGGAUUCCCCCUAGUAACUGCGAGUGAAGCGGGAAGAGCUCAAAUUUUGAAUCUGGCGGUCUUUGGCCGUCCGAGUUGUAAUCUACAGAAGUGUUUUCCGCGCUGGACCGUGUACAAGUCUCCUGGAAGGGAGCGUCAUAGAGGGUGAUAAUCCCGUCUCUGACACGGACUACCAGGGCUAUGUGAUGCGCUCUCGACCAGUCGAGUUGUUUGGGAAUUGCAUCUUAAAUUGGGUGGUUAAAUUCCAUCCUAAGCUAAUAUAGCCAGAGACCGAUAGCGAACAAGUACC